CGGGGCGUGGCGCAGCCUGGUAGCGCGCCUGCUUUGGGAGCAGGAGGUCGCCGGUUCGAACCCGGCCGCCCCGACCA
rnacentral:tRNA from 1 species